AUCGCUUCUCGGCCUUUUGGCUAAGAUCAAAUAUAGUAUCUGUUCUUAUCAGUUUAAUAUCUGAUACGUCCUCUAUCCAAGGACAUUAUAUUAAAUGCAUCUUUGGAACAGGGAGAUGGAAGAGGAGCUUGCUGAGUCCACUCCACGCAUCAACCCGGUCUUGUAGUACCUCUGGGAAUGGUGCAAAAAAA